AACGUAGUAACUUCUAUGAUUUCAGCUUUCUGAUAAAGUAUCAGAGGAACGCAGAAAGGGACACAAUGUGAUAGUGUUGGGUGGAGAUCAUAGUCUCGGGAUUGGUUCUGUGCACGGCCAGAUAGAAGCUGAAAAGGAAAAGCCUGUACUACUAUGGAUAGAUGCACACAGCGAUAUUAAUACGCCGAAGACAUCGCCUUCUGGUAAUGCCCAUGGAAUGCCAGUCGCCUAUCUGAUUGAAGAAAUGAGAAACCAAUUGCCCGAGAUUCAGCAAUUCAAUUGGGUGAAUCACUCGAUCAAAGCCAAAGACUUGGUUUAUAUUGGACUUCGUGAUAUUGACGUCGGGGAAAUACAAACUAUGAAGAACCUGGGUGUGAAAUUCUUUUCAAUGCAAGAAGUUGAAGAAUAUGG
rnacentral:lncRNA from 1 species